AAUCUUGGACAAUGGGCGCAAGCCUGAUCCAGCCAUGCCGCGUGGGCGACGACGGUCUUCGGACUGUAAAGCCCUUUUCUCGGGGACGAACCCCCUCCGGAGGCACUGCCGGGGGGCUGACGGUACCCGCGGAAUAAGCAACGUCUAACUCCGUCCCAGCAGCCGCGGUAAUACGGAGGUUGCAAGCGUUGUUCGGAAUGACUGGGCGUAAAGGGAGCGCAGGCGGCCUUUUAAGUCCGGCGUGAAAGCCCGGGGCUCAACCCCGGCGGGUCGCCGGAUACUGGGAGGCUCGAGUACGGAAGAGGCGAGUGGAAUUCCGGGUGUAGCGGUGAAAUGCGUAGAUAUCCGGAGGAACACCGGUGGCGAAAGCGGCUCGCUGGUCCGAUACUGACGCUCAGGCUCGAAAGCGUGGGGAGCAAAC
rnacentral:rRNA from 1 species